rnacentral:rRNA from 1 species
UACCAGCACCCCGAGUGGUCGGGACGCUUAUUGGGCCUAAAGCAUCCGUAGCCGGUUCUACAAGUCUUCCGUUAAAUCCACCUGCUUAACAGAUGGGCUGCGGAAGAUACUAUAGGGCUAGGAGGCGGGAGAGGCAAGCGGUACUCAGUGGGUAGGGGUAAAAUCCUCUGAUCCAUUGAAGACCACCAGUGGCGAAGGCGGCUUGCCAGAACGCGCUCGACGGUGAGGGAUGAAAGCUGGGGGAGCAAACCGG